CCUACGGGUGGCAGCAGUGAGGAAUAUUGGUCAAUGGCCGCGAGCCUGAACCAGCCAAGUAGCGUGAAGGAUGACAGUCCUAUGGAUUGUAAACCUCUUUUGUCAGGGAGCAAAGUGCGCCACGUGUGGCGUUUUGCGUGUACCUUAUGAAUAAGCAUCGGCUAACUCCGUGCCAGCAGCCGCGGUAAUACGGAGGAUGCGAGCGUUAUCCGGAUUUAUUGGGUUUAAAGGGUGCGUAGGCGGAACGAUAAGUCAGCGGUAAAAUUGUGGGGCUCAACCCUGCCGUGCCGUUGAAACUGGGGUUCUUGAGUGAGCGCGAAGUACGCGGAAUGCGUGGUGUAGCGGUGAAAUGCUUAGAUAUCACGAAGAACUCCGAUCGCGAAGGCAGCAUACCGGCGCUAAACUGACGCUGAUGCACGAAAGUGUGGGUAUCGAACAGGAUUAGAUACCCCUGUAGUC
rnacentral:rRNA from 1 species